rnacentral:snRNA from 1 species
UUCCCCUCGUUCGAAACCCGCUACUAACAUCCGCACAGAGAAGAUUAGCAUGGCCCCUGCACUAAGGAUGACACGCUCAAUCAAAGAGAAGCUAAACAUUUUU